GAUGAACGCUGGCGGCGUGCCUAAUACAUGCAAGUCGAGCGAACGGACGAGAAGCUUGCUUCUCUGAUGUUAGCGGCGGACGGGUGAGUAACACGUGGAUAACCUACCUAUAAGACUGGGAUAACUUCGGGAAACCGGAGCUAAUACCGGAUAAUAUUUUGAACCGCAUGGUUCAAAAGUGAAAGACGGUCUUGCUGUCACUUAUAGAUGGAUCCGCGCUGCAUUAGCUAGUUGGUAAGGUAACGGCUUACCAAGGCAACGAUGCAUAGCCGACCUGAGAGGAUGAUCGGCCACACUGGAACUGAGACACGGUCCAGACUCCUACGGGAGGCAGCAGUGGGGAAUCUUCGGCAGUGGGCGAAAGCCUGACGGAGCAACGCCGCGUGAGUGAUGAAGGUCUUCGGGUCGUAAAACUCUGUUAUUGGGAAAGAACAGAUGUGUAAUAAACUGUGGAUGUCUUGACGGUACCUAAUCAGAAAGCCACGGCUAACUACGUG
rnacentral:rRNA from 1 species